rnacentral:rRNA from 1 species
UACGUAGGGCGCGAGCGUUGUCCGGAAUUAUUGGGCGUAAAGAGCUCGUAGGCGGCUUGUCACGUCGGGUGUGAAAGACCGGGGCUUAACUCCGGUUCUGCAUUCGAUACGGGCUAGCUAGAGUGCGGUAGGGGGAGACUGGAAUUCUCGGUGUAGCGGUGAAAUGCGUAGAUAUCGAGAGGAACACCUGCGGCGAAGGCGGGUUGCUGGGCCGACACUGACGCUGACAGCGCGAAAGCUAGGGGAGCGAACGGG